rnacentral:rRNA from 1 species
UAGGGAAUAUUGCAAAAUGGGCGAAAGCCCGAUGCAGCAACGCCGCGUGGGCGAUGAAGGCCUUCGGGUCGUAAGGCCCUUUUUGAGGGGAUGAGGAAGGACAGUACCCUCAGAAUAAGCCUCGGCUAACUACGUGCCAGCAGCCGCGGUAAAACGUAGGAGGCGAGCGUUAUCCGGAUUUACUGGGCGUAAAGCGCGUGCAGGCGGAUUGGAGAGUUGGAUGUGAAAGCUCCCGGCUUAACUGGGAGAGGUCGUUCAAUACUUCCAGUCUUGAGUGCAGUAGAGGGAAGUGGAAUUCCGGGUGUAGUGGUGAAAUGCGUAGAUAUCCGGAGGAACACCAGUGGCGAAAGCGGCUUCCUGAACUGUAACUGACGCUCAGACGCGAAAGCUAGGGUAGCAAACG